UGUGAUGGUAGAUACGGAUGUCAUGAGAUUUUCUGGCUACUGGAAAAAAGCAAGAAACCCUCAUUUGAAUAUCUUCUCUUCCAUGGGUAUUUUUGGCAGAAUGAUACAUUUUAUCUUGCCCAGGAAUGGUAAGCAGAAAAAUAUUUUCUAUAUCUAACUCCAAUAUGUAAAAUGAAAA
rnacentral:lncRNA from 11 species